CUUGCCGGAUUCCAUUUCCCAGAAGUCGCCGCGGGGCUCUGUUUCUGGCCAGUCUUUCAUUCCUGUCGCCAGGCAGGGGCAGGGAUCACGAGGUGCUCAGUGAAGGAGCUUCUGAACCAGGAGAAGGAAUUUCACAAGGGACACAGAACAAGGUGAAAAGGACACUGAAGAUGCAGAAAGCGGAGGCAAGCCAGAAGGCUCCGUAGGGCCUGAGGACCUCCUGC